UACGGAGGGAGCUAGCGUUAUUCGGAAUUACUGGGCGUAAAGCGCACGUAGGCGGCUUUGUAAGUUAGAGGUGAAAGCCUGGAGCUCAACUCCAGAAUUGCCUUUAAGACUGCAUCGCUUGAAUCCAGGAGAGGUGAGUGGAAUUCCGAGUGUAGAGGUGAAAUGCGUAGAUAUCAGGAGGAACACCGGUGGUGUAGACGGCUUACUGGACCACGACUGACACUGAGGCACGAAAGCGUGGGUAGCAAACAGG
rnacentral:rRNA from 1 species